UUUUUUUUUUUUUUGACAUAUUUGCUAGUAUUUUACACAAUAAUUUAAAACCCAGCCCAUCACAAGACCUUUGCAGUUAUAGUCUCGAAAGACAGCUUCUGUGAGAAUGGUUACUUCCCAAAUAAGUACCCCACAGGCUGUGUAUAUCUUUCUAACCUAGACAGCAUCAUCAAGGCAAAAUAGCUUUGAGAGGAAACAGGGACUACACAUAAAGUAGCAUAGUAAUAACACUAAAAUUGUUGCUGAUACAAACACUGUUGCAGUGUCUACAGAACGCCCCACAGUUCAAAUGCUUUCAUUCAUAUUUCAUUUAUGUAUCAUUCAUUCUAAGUCAACCCUGCUGACAGGAGGGGGAAAAAAAUCCAAAAAGCUGGCAGAGUUCCCAGCACAGCAUACUGAAAGUGUAGUAGAAAUACCCUGAGUGUCUGUCUGGUAAGGACUGGAGUCAUAGUGUGUAAUACAUGAUGUUUGUGAUGGUUCUGCACAAAAACUGCUACCUAUGGGAUGGUGCCGAGUCAUCCACAUUCUAAGAGAUAUUGAGCUUCAUGCGGCCUCCAAAAUGCAGUAAAUUCAGUCCCUUCGUGGCAGAGACGGGACUUGGAGACGUCCUUCAUAGUUCUCCCUGUGGACCUGCUGAGCCAAGAGUUGUUUAGUCGUCUGAGAAACCCAUCUGAAACCUGCUUGUGGGUGUAGAGGUCUUGCAGGCUGAGAAAACACAGCAGCCUAGGGGUUAAAAAUAAAGUCAGGGGUUUUGUUUUCAGUUGUGUAUUGUGUAUAUUCUUUGGCUUCUGGCACUCUCAAAUUUACUUUUUUUUUUUUCAGGACACUAACAAAUUCAAUGUCAGAAUGCAUGAACUUGGGUAUUUUUCAUGUUACCAUCUUCACCCUAUAGUAAAUUGGUAUAGUUCAUGGCUAUUUCAAGAGCUUGUGUUUUUCAUUUUAUAGCAUUCAGUCUCUAGGCUCUUGGAAGUCUACAGUAGAUUCAUCAGGAACAUUUCCCUCUUCGCCUUCCUUCGCAGCAGCUCCUCUUCAGACACUCUCUUGAGGAGCCCUUUUCCUGAGGGCCUUGUGCAGUGUGACACAGUUGAUAAAGCUGUUGGGUUCUUAGUUACACUGCAGUGACAUUGCAAUUGCUCCUGUUCUCCAGGACAGGCCACACCAUGUCAUCUGGGAACUAAUAAUAAUAUUCUUUAAAUAUUUAUUCAGCAUGUAUUUAAUGGAAGAGGAAGAAAUUGAUUUUCUUUUAAUAACAUUUCUAUGCAGAGGCAGAUGCCUUCCUGAGCCUUUUCUAUGUGCCAGUGUGGGCUGGCUCUCUACAGCAGGCAGGACAGCUCCCAAGGCGCGGCAGCGUUGCUUCCUUUUUAUUUUGUGACUUUUCUGCAGUAGACAUUAAAAUUAGAUAAUAAAAUGUAUUCUGGUAAAAACUGUAUUACUCAGUCUUGGGACUUUGGCUGAUCGCUAGUAUACAUGACCAGUGUCACCCAGUAGUACUACACUGUCUCUCAUAAAGCUGUAUUUGUAGACAGCAGCCCACUCAAGCUCUGUCACCAACUUCAAGCCAUUGCUGCUGGUCCUGAUGACACAAGGGUAGAAUGCAAGUGUAUCGUUCUUGAACCCAUUGUACUGCCUCAGAGAGGAUGUGCUCGCCCGAGUUUGACUGGCUAUUGGUCUCCUCUCCUCUCCCCAUGUGUAGUAUUUGGUCUGGCGCCGUAGAAAUGAAAUUAUCAUCUUUCAUUGUGCACUUGCUGUGUACCCAAACAACAGGAGUGUGUGUUUUGUCUUUAGCACUUUUAUAUUGCUGCCAUGAAUUUCUUUUCUAGAUAAAGUUUGCUGUCUGGUAAAAUGUAGUUGUUUUUCUUGAUAAAAUCUGUAAGCUAACAGGCAUUUAGGUAAGCACCAAAGUAUGUAACUGCUGAAAAACUUCAUUGCUUAUAAUAUUUGAGGAAAUAGGUCACAAAACGUGUAGCAAAAUUACACAUCCUACUUUUAGAAACAUCAUAAAUGGGACCUCAAAGAUACGAUUUUCUCUUAGAGCAGGCCUAGUUACUCAAAAUAGAAGUCAAUCUUGAACACAUGGCUGCUUUUAUAAUUGCGAACCUCAUUUCAUUAGAUAAUCAGAGAAAUGUCACUAAUUCUGUGACGUCUUUUCUUAUGCAUGCUUUCCUCGGGUUUCAGAAGGUGGCUCCAGUUCACCUCCCCCAGCACAGGAGCAUUGUGUGUUGACUGAAGGCUCCUUUAUUCUCAUUGAAACUGAAUUAAGCAGACUGAAUUAAAAAUAGCAACUUAAAUUACUGACUAUAACUUUUUAUAUGUAUUUUUUAGAUUUAUUUAUUAUAUGUAAGUAUACUGUAGCUGUCUUCAGACACUACAGAAGAGGGCGUCAGAUCUCUUUAUGGAUGGUUUUGAGCCACCAUGUGGUUGCUGGGAUUUGAACUCAGGACCUUUGGAAGAGCAGUCAGUGUUCUUACCCGCUGAGCCAUAUCAUCAGCCCAACUUUUUAUAUUUUAUCUAAAUAUGUUUGCCUUUGGCUUAUAGUUGGUUUUUAGUGUUUAUUCAGAAUUUGGUUCUUACCAACAGUAAUUUGCUUCUCUG
rnacentral:lncRNA from 1 species